UACGUAGGGGGCGAGCGUUGUCCGGAAUCAUUGGGCGUAAAGCGCGUGUAGGCGGCUUGGUAAGUCCGGUGUGAAACCUUGGGGCUCAACCCCAGGCCUGCACUGGAUACUGCCUCGCUUGAGUCCGGGAGGGGAGAGCGGAAUUCCUAGUGUAGCGGUGAAAUGCGCAGAUAUUAGGAAGAACACCGGUGGCGAAGGCGGCUCUCUGGAACGGUACUGACGCUGAGACGCGAAAGCGUGGGGAGCGAAUAGG
rnacentral:rRNA from 1 species